rnacentral:rRNA from 1 species
AGCAGCCGCGGUAAUUCCAGCUCCAAUAGCGUAUAUUAAAGUUGUUGUGGUUAAAAAGCUCGUAGUUGAACCUUGGGCCUGGCUGGCCGGUCCGCCUCACCGCGUGUACUGGUCCGGCCGGGCCUUUCCCUCUGUGGAACCCCAUGCCCUUCACUGGGUGUGGCGGGGAAACAGGACUUUUACUUUGAAAAAAUUAGAGUGCUCCAGGCAGGCCUAUGCUCGAAUACAUUAGCAUGGAAUAAUAGAAUAGGACGUGUGGUUCUAUUUUGUUGGUUUCUAGGACCGCCGUAAUGAUUAAUAGGGACAGUCGGGGGCAUCAGUAUUCAAUUGUCAGAGGUGAAAUUCUUGGAUUUAUUGAAGACUAACUACUGCGAAAGCAUUUGCCAAGGAUGUUUUCAUUAAUCAGGAACGAAAGUUAGGGGAUCGAAGACGAUCAGAUACCGUCGUAGUCUUAACCAUAAACUAUGCCGACUAGGGAUCGGACGAUG